UAUACCGCGAAACUGCGAAUGGCUCAUUAAAUCAGUUAUCGUUUAUUUGAUAGUACCUUACUACUUGGAUAACCGUGGUAAUUCUAGAGCUAAUACAUGCUAAAAAUCCCGACUCACGGAGGGAUGUAUUUAUUAGAUUAAAAACCAAUGCCCUUCGGGGCUCUCUGGUGAUUCAUAAUAACUUCUCGAAUCGCAUGGCCUUGUGCCGGCGAUGGUUCAUUCAAAUUUCUGCCCUAUCAACUUUCGAUGGCAGGGUCUUGGCCUGCCAUGGUGGCAACGGGUAACGGAGGGUUAGGGCUCGACCCCGGAGAAGGAGCCUGAGAAACGGCUACUACAUCCAAGGAAGGCAGCAGGCGCGCAAAUUACCCAAUCCCGAUACGGGGAGGUAGUGACAAUAAAUACUGAUACAGGGCUCUUUUGGGUCUUGUAAUUGGAAUGAGUACAAUUUAAAUCUCUUAACGAGGAACAAUUGGAGGGCAAGUCUGGUGCCAGCAGCCGCGGUAAUUCCAGCUCCAAUAGCGUAUAUUAAAGUUGUUGCAGUUAAAAAGCUCGUAGUUGAACCUUGGGCCUGGCUGGCCGGUCCGCCUCACCGCGUGCACUGGUUCGGCCGGGCCUUUCCCUCUGGGGAACCUCAUGCCCUUCACUGGGUGUGCUGGGGAACCAGGACUUUUACUGUGAAAAAAUUAGAGUGUUCAAAGCAGGCCUAUGCUCGAAUACAUUAGCAUGGAAUAAUAGAAUAGGACGUGCGGUUCUAUUUUGUUGGUUUCUAGGACCGCCGUAAUGAUUAAUAGGGACAGUCGGGGGCAUCAGUAUUCAAUUGUCAGAGGUGAAAUUCUUGGAUUUAUUGAAGACUAACUACUGCGAAAGCAUUUGCCAAGGAUGUUUUCAUUAAUCAGGAACGAAAGUUAGGGGAUCGAAGACGAUCAGAUACCGUCGUAGUCUUAACCAUAAACUAUGCCGACUAGGGAUCGGACGAUGUUAUUAUUUGACUCGUUCGGCACCUUACGAGAAAUCAAAGUGUUUGGGUUCUGGGGG
rnacentral:rRNA from 1 species